UACGUAGGGUGCAAGCGUUGUCCGGAAUUAUUGGGCGUAAAGAGCUUGUAGGCGGUUUGUCGCGUCUGCUGUGAAAUUUCGGGGCUCAACCCCGAACUUGCAGUGGGUACGGGCAGACUAGAGUGUGGUAGGGGAGACUGGAAUUCCCGGUGUAGUGGUGAAAUGCGCAGAUAUCAGGAGGAACACCUAUGGCGAAGGCAGCUCGCUGGGACGGUACUGACGCUGAGGCGCGAAAGCGUGGGGAGCGAACAGG
rnacentral:rRNA from 1 species